UACGGAAGGCAGCAGUGGGGAAUAUUGCACAAUGGGCGCAAGCCUGAUGCAGCCAUGCCGCGUGUAUGAAAAAGGCCUUCGGGUUGUAAAGUACUUUCAGUCGUGAGGAAGGUGUUAAGGUUAAUAACCUUAGCAAUUGACGUUAGCGACAGAAGAAGCACCGGCUAACUCCGUGCCAGCAGCCGCGGUAAUACGGAGGGUGCGAGCGUUAAUCGGAAUUACUGGGCGUAAAGGGCACGCAGGCGGUUAAUUAAGUUGGAUGUGAAAUCCCCGGGCUUAACCUGGGAAUGGCAUUCAAGACUGGUUAGCUAGAGUCUUGUAGAGGGGGUAGAAUUCCAUGUGUAGCGGUGAAAUGCGUAGAGAUGUGGAGGAAUACCGGUGGCGAAGCGGCCCCUGGACAAAGACUGACGCUCAUGUGCGAAAGCGUGGGGAGCAAAC
rnacentral:rRNA from 1 species